rnacentral:rRNA from 1 species
CGCGGCCUAUCAGCUUGUUGGUGAGGUAACGGCUCACCAAGGCAUCGACGGGUAGCUGGUCUGAGAGGAUGAUCAGCCACACUGGAACUGAGACACGGUCCAGACUCCUACGGGAGGCAGCAGUGGGGAAUAUUGCACAAUGGGCGCAAGCCUGAUGCAGCAACGCCGCGUGCGGGAAGAAGGCCCUAGGGUUGUAAACCGCUUUCAGCAGGGAAGAAAAUGACGGUACCUGCAGAAGAAGGUGCGGCCAACUACGUGCCAGCAGCCGCGGCGACACGUAGGCACCAAGCGUUGUCCGGAUUUAUUGGGCGUAAAGAGCUCGUAGGCGGUUCAGUAAGUCGGGUGUGAAAACUCUGGGCUCAACCCAGAGACGCCACUCGAUACUGCUGUGACUUGAGUACGGUAGGGGAGCGGGGAAUUCCUGGUGUAGCGGUGAAAUGCGCAGAUAUCAGGAGGAACACCAGUGGCGAAGGCGCCGCUCUGGGCCGUAACUGACGCUGAGGAGCGAAAGCAUGGGUAGCAAACAGGAUUAGAUACCCUGGUAGUCCAUGCCGUAAACGUUGGGCACUAGGUGUGGGUCUCAACCAACGAGAUCCGCGCCGUCGCUAACGCAUUAAGUGCCCCGCCUGGGGAGUACGG